AUGCUGCAUGCGAGAUGCGGGAUGCUGGGCACUGGAGGCCCGGGACGCGGGUCCGAGAGCGCGGAAGGGGCGGGGCUGGGCAGCCUAAGAGGCCGCGCUCGCUCCGGACCGCCCUGCCCCAUGUUCCUCCCCGCGUCCCUCCGGCUCCUGGCGCUUCGUAGAGCCCAAAGGCUGAGAGGGGUUAGAGGCGCCGAUCACACCCUAGAAGUCGUUUAUGUCGAGCUGUGGAUGUUACAAGCGUUAUUUGCUUCGGGUCCGCCGAAAUCGAGCCAGAGCUCGGACCAGACAGCUGCUAAAUUCUACGCGGGCCUGGAGGCGCUCGGGUUAAGGCGGGGCCGACUCCGGCCCCCUAAUCCAGAAGACAGGGAAAGCAGGGCUUGUGCGAAUGUUGACCUGGAGGUCUGGAGGCUAAGGCUCCAUCCAGUUCUGUUAGCACCAUAAAAGAUGCCGAUGAGGUGUUCUUUCCAGGUUAUGAUGGAGAAAAGAAAAUUUCUGGGAGUCCCCCCCCCGCCCCCCUACAACUCCCACUCUGGAUGGAGCUCUCCUUUCCUGCCUGGGUCCCUACCAGGAAGAGUGGGGAACUCCAAGGAGGGAGGUGCCUGUUGUGGGGGUGCUGCUGAGCAACCCAGGCAG
rnacentral:lncRNA from 1 species